GGGUUGUGAGGUUAAGCGACUAAGCGUACACGGUGGAUGCCCUGGCAGUCAGAGGCGAUGAAGGGCGUGCUAAUCUGCGAUAAGCGCCGGUAAGGUGAUAUGAACCGUUAUAACCGGCGAUACCCGAAUGGGGAAACCCAGUGUGAUUCGUCACACUAUCAUUAACUGAAUCCAUAGGUUAAUGAGGCGAACCGGGGGAACUGAAACAUCUAAGUACCCCGAGGAAAAGAAAUCAACCGAGAUUCCCCCAGUAGCGGCGAGCGAACGGGGAGGAGCCCAGAGCCUGAAUCAGCAUGUGUAUUAGUGGAAGCGUCUGGAAAGGCGCGCGAUACAGGGUGACAGCCCCGUACACAAAAGCGCAUGUGCUGUGAGCUCGAUGAGUAGGGCGGGACACGUGGUAUCCUGUCUGAAUAUGGGGGGACCAUCCUCCAAGGCUAAAUACUCCUGACUGACCGAUAGUGAACCAGUACCGUGAGGGAAAGGCGAAAAGAACCCCGGCGAGGGGAGUGAAAAAGAACCUGAAACCGUGUACGUACAAGCAGUGGGAGCCCCACCACCAAAGCAUUCUAUGGUGUUGAAGGCCCUGCAAAGCAGCAUCGCGGUGGCGGAGCGUCGUUUGCGACGCCCAACACACAAAACAAGCGGUGAGUGCUUUGGGGUGGGGUGACUGCGUACCUUUUGUAUAAUGGGUCAGCGACUUAUAUUCUGUAGCAAGGUUAACCGAAUAGGGGAGCCGGAGGGAAACCGAGUCUUAAUUGGGCGUUAAGUUGCAGGGUAUAGACCCGAAACCCGGUGAUCUAGCCAUGGGCAGGUUGAAGGUUGGGUAACACUAACUGGAGGACCGAACCGACUAAUGUUGAAAAAUUAGCGGAUGACCUGUGGCUGGGGGUGAAAGGCCAAUCAAACCGGGAGAUAGCUGGUUCUCCCCGAAAGCUAUUUAGGUAGCGCCUCGUGAAUUCAUCUCCGGGGGUAGAGCACUGUUUCGGCUAGGGGGCCAUCCCGGCUUACCAACCCGAUGCAAACUGCGAAUACCGGAGAAUGUUAUCACGGGAGACACACGGCGGGUGCUAACGUCCGUCGUGAAGAGGGAAACAACCCAGACCGCCAGCUAAGGUCCCAAAGUCAUGGUUAAGUGGGAAACGAUGUGGGAAGGCCCAGACAGCCAGGAUGUUGGCUUAGAAGCAGCCAUCAUUUAAAGAAAGCGUAAUAGCUCACUGGUCGAGUCGGCCUGCGCGGAAGAUGUAACGGGGCUAAACCAUGCACCGAAGCUGCGGCAGCGAACGUAUCACUUAAAGCGAUUCAGCGGGUUACGAUUGACGGAGCGAAGCGACGUCAAAGCGUAUACAAAGUCGAGUCGGUUUAAGGAUACGUUCGUUGGGUAGGGGAGCGUUCUGUAAGCCUGUGAAGGUGUGUCGUGAGGCAUGCUGGAGGUAUCAGAAGUGCGAAUGCUGACAUAAGUAACGAUAAAGCGGGUGAAAAGCCCGCUCGCCGGAAGACCAAGGGUUCCUGUCCAACGUUAAUCGGGGCAGGGUGAGUCGACCCCUAAGGCGAGGCCGAAAGGCGUAGUCGAUGGGAAACGGGUUAAUAUUCCCGUACUUGGUGUUACUGCGAAGGGGGGACGGAGAAGGCUAUGUUGGCCGGGCGACGGUUGUCCCGGUUUAAGCGUGUAGGUGUGUGUUCCAGGUAAAUCCGGUUCACUUUAACACUGAGGCGUGACGACGAGGCACUACGGUGCUGAAGCAACAAAUGCCCUGCUUCCAGGAAAAGCCUCUAAGCAUCAGGUAACACGAAAUCGUACCCCAAACCGACACAGGUGGUCAGGUAGAGAAUACCAAGGCGCUUGAGAGAACUCGGGUGAAGGAACUAGGCAAAAUGGUGCCGUAACUUCGGGAGAAGGCACGCUGACACGUAGGUGAAGUGAUUUACUCAUGGAGCUGAAGUCAGUCGAAGAUACCAGCUGGCUGCAACUGUUUAUUAAAAACACAGCACUGUGCAAACACGAAAGUGGACGUAUACGGUGUGACGCCUGCCCGGUGCCGGAAGGUUAAUUGAUGGGGUCAGCGCAAGCGAAGCUCCUGAUCGAAGCCCCGGUAAACGGCGGCCGUAACUAUAACGGUCCUAAGGUAGCGAAAUUCCUUGUCGGGUAAGUUCCGACCUGCACGAAUGGCGUAAUGAUGGCCAGGCUGUCUCCACCCGAGACUCAGUGAAAUUGAACUCGCUGUGAAGAUGCAGUGUACCCGCGGCAAGACGGAAAGACCCCGUGAACCUUUACUAUAGCUUGACACUGAACAUUGAGCCUUGAUGUGUAGGAUAGGUGGGAGGCUUUGAAGCGUGGACGCCAGUCUGCGUGGAGCCGACCUUGAAAUACCACCCUUUAAUGUUUGAUGUUCUAACGUGGACCCGUAAUCCGGGUUGCGGACAGUGUCUGGUGGGUAGUUUGACUGGGGCGGUCUCCUCCUAAAGAGUAACGGAGGAGCACGAAGGUUGGCUAAUCCUGGUCGGACAUCAGGAGGUUAGUGCAAUGGCAUAAGCCAGCUUGACUGCGAGCGUGACGGCGCGAGCAGGUGCGAAAGCAGGUCAUAGUGAUCCGGUGGUUCUGAAUGGAAGGGCCAUCGCUCAACGGAUAAAAGGUACUCCGGGGAUAACAGGCUGAUACCGCCCAAGAGUUCAUAUCGACGGCGGUGUUUGGCACCUCGAUGUCGGCUCAUCACAUCCUGGGGCUGAAGUAGGUCCCAAGGGUAUGGCUGUUCGCCAUUUAAAGUGGUACGCGAGCUGGGUUUAGAACGUCGUGAGACAGUUCGGUCCCUAUCUGCCGUGGGCGCUGGAGAACUGAGGGGGGCUGCUCCUAGUACGAGAGGACCGGAGUGGACGCAUCACUGGUGUUCGGGUUGUCAUGCCAAUGGCACUGCCCGGUAGCUAAAUGCGGAAGAGAUAAGUGCUGAAAGCAUCUAAGCACGAAACUUGCCCCGAGAUGAGUUCUCCCUGAGACUUAGAGUCUCCUGAAGGAACGUUGAAGACGACGACGUUGAUAGGCCGGGUGUGUAAGCGCAGCGAUGCGUUGAGCUAACCGGUACUAAUGAACCGUGAGGCUUAACCUUACAACGCCGAAG
rnacentral:rRNA from 1 species